rnacentral:rRNA from 1 species
CCUACGGGAGGCAGCAGUGAGGAAUAUUGGUCAAUGGACGAAAGUCUGAACCAGCAAAGUAGCGUGAAGGAUGACUGCCCUCUGGGUUGUAAACUUCUUUUAUAGGGGAAUAAAGCGUUCCACGUGUGGGAUUUUGAAUGUACCAUAUGAAUAAGGAUCGGCUAACUCCAUGCCAGCAGCCGCGGUAAUACGGAGGUUCCGAGCGUUAUCCGGAUUUAUUGGGGUUAAAGGGAGCGUAGGUGGAUUGGUAAGUAAGUUGUGAAAGUUUGCGGCUCAACCGUAAAAUUGCAGUUGAAACUGGCAGUCUGGAGUACAGUAGAGGUGGGCGGAAUUCGUGGUGUAGCGGUGAAAUGCUUAGAUAUCACGAAGAACUCCGAUUGCGAAGGCAGUUCACUGGACUGCAACUGACACUGAGGCUCGAAAGUGUGGGUAUCAAACAGGAUUAGAUACCCCGGUAGUC